rnacentral:rRNA from 1 species
CGCAGAUAGUGGAUGCCUUGGUCGUAUCUUCCGAAGAAGGACGUACAUAGCCACGAUAGUCGACGGGGAACUGCUACGAAGUUUUGAUCCGUCGGUGUCCGAAUGGAGCAAUCCUUCCUGAUUUAUAUCAGGAAACUUGUAAGCCAAAUUAUCCAAUUUAUUGGAUGAAUAACUUACAAUGAGGGAACCAUCUGAACUGAAACAUCUAAGUAAGAUGAGGAAAAGAAAUCAAAGAGAUUGCGUCAGUAGCGGCGAGCGAAAGCGCAAGAGCCUAAACCUUGUUCAUGUUUACAUGAGUGAGGGGUUGUGGGAGCCCAAUGUGGGAUUAGAAUUUAAUAGUAGAACAAUCUGGAAUGGUUGACCAUAGAGAGUGAAAGUCUCGUAAACGAAAUUAAAUUUUACCCUAGGGAAUUCCCAAGUAACAUGAGAUACACAUCUUGUGUGAAUCCGGGGGAACCAUCCUCCAAGGCUAAAUAAAGAUACGAACCGAUAGUGAACUAGUACCGUGAGGGAAAGGUGAAAAGAAGGGUGAGACACCCAAUGAAAUA